GGAAACUUUGGCAGCACCAUGUACUGAAAUCAGAACAAUACAGAAAAGAUUAGCAUGGCCUCUGCUCAAGGAUGAUACACAUAUUCAUGAAAUAUUUUAUACUUCU